rnacentral:tRNA from 2 species
AGCCCCGUAGUCUAGCGGCCAAGGAUGUGGGUCUUUGGAACCCAAGACGCAGGUUCAAAUGAGCUGAAGGUUCUGAAAAUCCUGCCGGGGCUA